AGCUCUGAGGAUGACUUUGGUUAGAUCUCUUGUGGGAGAUUUUUUUUUUUAUGUUUGAUGUUUCGGCCUUAAAUGGCCUUAUUUCGUGUUUCGGGACUGGCCGUGUGUGGCCUUGAAUCCCCGUCGCUCUGCGGCUUUUAUGACAAGAUGGUCGAGUUGAAUUUUUCAUAAGCUUUACGUAUGGAGUGGAAGAAGGGUGAUGAGUUGUCGUCUCAUAUCCUUUUUCGAUGUGAAAUGUUUUGUUCGAGAUCUGUUUUGAAAGUUUUUCCGCGAGAUAUCGACUUCGGGGGAUAUCUGAAGAUGUCGAACAUAAACAUGGAGGCAUGGUUUUGGGAUCUCGUAUCUUUUAGAUAUCAUGCCUUUGAGAUGUUAGAGACCAGUGCGCUGGGUUUAGG
rnacentral:lncRNA from 1 species